UCAUUUCUCAAAUACAUAACUGUACAGUCCUUAACCGAGGAAGGUCUCAAAAACAUUGGACCGCAUGUAGCAAAGAUGGCAGAAGUCGAAGGGCUGGAGGCUCACAAGAGAGCUGUUACCCUUCGGCUGCAGGAAAUCGAAGCUGGCCUACCUGCUUAGCUGACAUAAUGCAGGUUGUUUCUUGAAGACCUUUGCCAUUUUGCAUCAUUCAUAAUCUGCUAAAAGGCCAAGCUGUUGGGGGUGGUCUUUCUUCAGUGCCCACAAGCAGCUCAAAGUGGGGAGUGCAUAAAACAGUCAGCUCAUUUUUACGUGCAAUAACUACAUCCUCAGAUACAAUUCAUCAUCCGGUUUAUGCUUGCAGAACCUAAUUAAGUUGUGUUCUCACUGUUGUGCAACAUUUUGAAAUUCACAAUCAACGAACAAAUGGAAAAGACAAGCCAAUAAUCAGAAUGGAUAGGGUAUUGCUGUUCGUAUUGUGGCAGCAGACAUGCUGUAGAACUUGUCGCCACCGGUAUUUGCUACGUAAGCCAUCCUUUCACGUUACUGUUCUAAUAUGCAAGAAACUUUUUUCUGUUUGAUAUGCAACAUUGUUGAUUGUUUUAGUCUAAAGUAAUAUUUGAACUUGUGCAGACCUCGAGUUUCUCAUGAAUUCAUUUGUUGUCCUGUA